rnacentral:lncRNA from 1 species
CAGGUGGGGCCCUUGGGAUAGUUGUCGAAGCGGAGCUUGAGGAUGUGCUCGAGGUUCUUGGGGUCGCAGGUGACAGUGAUGAGACACUGUUUGCAUGCGAGGAAGGGGAGGGCGGCGAUGCAGGUUUGGUAGGUGCCACCGGAGGCGCGUAGGUUGUCAGCGAUCCAGUCAUGCAUGCGGUUGGCAUGUUGGAUGAGGCCGGGGAGGCUGCCUAAUAGGGGCCAGACACGUGGACCUUUGAGGGAGCGAGUGACGAAGGUGAACCAUAUUAAAUAGGCCGCUAUUGCAGAUAGGAACAUUAAAGCCGUUGAAGCCUCCAUGUGAAACAGGGACCCUCCUCUCUUCUCCUCCCAAUUCUAUUCUAUUCUAUUCUACACUCUCAC